GAUGAAGAACUCAGCGAAAUGCGAUAAGUAAUGUGAAUUGCAGAAUUCAGUGAAUCAUCGAAUCUUUGAACGCACAUUGCGCCCGCUAGUAUUCUGGCGGGCAUGCCUGUUCGAGCGUCAUUUCAACCAUCAAGCCCCCGGCUUGCGUUGGAGCCCUGCGGCUGCCGCAGGCUCCCAAAUCCAGUGGCGGGCUCGUCGUCGUACCGAGUGCAGUAAACAUCCUCGCUCAGGGAACGUGACGGGUUCUUGCCGUGAAACCCCCCACAUAUCAAGGUUGACCUCGGAUCAGGUAGGAAUACCCGCUGAACUUAAGCAUAUCAAUAAGCGGAGGA
rnacentral:misc_RNA from 1 species